UUGGGUGACUGGUCCACGCUCGGGUCCCUCGAGCUUAGAAUCUGAGCGUAGUUUCCAGAACCUGACUAAGAUGAAACCCAGUCCACUUGUCACGAGCCGUAGACGUGCGCAGACUGGCUUAAUGUUUUAACUCCCAGAAGGCUGCCCGCGGGCUUUUGUCUCUACUCUUCCAGUCUCCGCAAACUCUCUUAAGUAUCAGAGAAGACGGCCUCUUUCCUGAUUGUGCUUUCCGAAACUACAAUUCCCAGAGGGCCGCGCUUCCGCUUCCGCUUUGCAGUUUCGUUUUUCCGCGCUGGUAUUUAAAGGACAUUUCCAACUCACGCUGUGCUGUGGUGACUGACAGAAGUGCUAAUUUAGGACUUGAGGAAGUUGAGAGUAGUGGUGGGAAGAGUACUGGUAACUGUCUUCCAGAUGUGAAAAGCCCUGCUGUGUUUAAUGAAGAGAGGAGGUGGGAAGAUAAUGCCAAGAGGUCCUAGAGGGGUAGAUUGGAACACUGAAUUUUCUUAUUGGAAACUCAGCCGUUAACUGCUGUAAGACAAAGUCGUGAGUAAAGCACACGCACAAGUUUUAACUGAGAAUAUCAAGAACAUCUCCAGAAGAUCCAGCCACAGGCAAUUACCAGACUAUUUAUUGCAUCGGUAUAUAUAUAUAUAAAAAAACCCAACAUUUGCAAGUAUUUUGUUAUGUAAUUAUUGAAAUUGUGUUUUUGAACAGGAGCAUACUAUUCAAAGAUGAUAUACCUCCAUUCACUGAAUUGUCAUUUUCUGAAAAUUAUCUCCCAACACCACACACUGGUCCUAUAGUGCAGCAACAAACUGGAAAAUGUGUGGCAUUCAUUGUCACCAAACACAAUGGGUUCACAUCUUGAUGAGUGCAAAGCCUUUUGGCCAAAACAAAUACAGCCAAGAAAAAGAGUGGACAAAAAUAUAAAACCUGUAGCAGAUGAGAGAGAAGAGAGAUGGCUCCAGAGAUGAGUACAUGGACUUACAAUCCAAGAAGGCACUAGGGCUGGGAAAACAUGAGUGGACUGACAUGGCUUUGGUUCAUCAGAACCCACAGUUCAGUGGACACAUACUAGCAAACAGAA